UGCAAGUCGGAGGGCAGCACGGGUAGCAAUCCUGGUGGCGAGUGGCGAACGGGCUGAUGUAAUAUAUCGGAACGUGCCCAGUCGUGGGGGAUAACGCUCGAAAGCUACGCUAAUACCGCAUACGAUCUACGGAUGAAAGCGGGGGAUCGCAAGACCUCGUCGCGAUUGGAGCGGCCGAUAUCAGAUUAGCUAGUUGGUGGGGUAAAAGCCCACCAAGGCGACGAUCUGUAGCUGGUCUGAGAGGACGACCAGCCCACUGGAACUGAGACACGGUCCAAACUCCUACGGGAGGCAGCAGUGGGGAAUUUUGGACAAUGGGCGCAAGCCUGAUCCAGAAAUGCCGCGUGCAGGAUGAAGGCCUUCGGGUUGUAAACUGCUUUUGUACGGAACGAAACGGUCUUUCUAAUAAAGAGGGCUAAUGACGGNACCGUAAGAAUAAGCACCGGGUAACUACGUGCCAGCCGCCGCGGUAUUACGUAGGGUGCGAGCGUUAAUCGGAAUUACUGGGCGUAAAGCGUGUGCCGGCGGUUAUAUAAGACAAUGUGAAAUCCCCGGGCCUCAACCGGNACCUGCAUUUGUGACUGUAUAACUAGAGUACGGUAGAGGGGGAUGGAAUUCCUCGUGUAGCAUUGAAAAGCUUAAAUAUGCCGGAGGAACACCGAUGGCGAAGGCAAUCCCCUGGACCUGUUCUGUACCUUCAUGCACCAAAGCCGUGGGGGAGCAAACAGGAUUUAGUAACCCUGGUAGUCCCCCGCCCUAAAACGAUGUCAACUAAGCCGUCCGGCUCGGCUUUAAAGUUUGGUGGUGAACUAACGUAAUUAAGUUGACCGUCCUGGGGAGUACGCUCGCAAGAGUAAAACUCAAAGGAAAUUGACGGGGGCCCCGCACAAACGGUGGAGGCAUGUGGUUUAAUUCGAUGCAACGCGAAGAACCUUUCCUGGUCUUGACAUGUAGUGAACUUAGCAGAAAUGUUUUGGUGCCUUCGGGGAACACUAACACAGGUGCUGCACGGCUGUCUUCAGCACGUGUCGUGAGAUGUUGGGUUAAGUCCCGCAACGAGCGCAACCCCUAUCCCUAGUUGCCAGCACAUAAUGGUGGGAACUCUAGGGAGCUCCGGUGACAAACCGGAGGAAGGUGGGGAUGACGUCAAGUCAUCAUGGCCCUUAUGACCAGGGCUACACACGUGCUACAAUGGGUAGUACAGAGGGAAGCGAGACCGCGAGGUGGAGCAAAUCCCAGAAAGCUAUCCGUAGUCCGGAUCGGAGUCUGCAACUCGACUCCGUGAAGUCGGAAUCACUAGUAAUCGCGAAUCAGCAUGUCGGUGAAUACGUUCCCGGGCCUUGUACACACCGCCCUUCUAAAGGGUGGGAGUUUGUUGCACCAGGAGGCAGGUAGUCUAACCGAAAGGAGGGCGCUG
rnacentral:rRNA from 1 species